rnacentral:misc_RNA from 1 species
AUGCUAUUUUGUAAUCACAAAAUAUAUUUUGUAUUCGCAGUUCUUUAUAGAAAAGAAAACUAUUUUGAAUUUCACAAAUUCAUGUUUUUUCUGUUUUAAUAAUUUAUAGAUUAGCAUAACGUUUCUAAUAUCUAUCACAUACUAUCAAUGACAAAAAAUCUUAUACAGACACGAAAACACGAUAUAUGAUGACAAUUUUUUUUAUUCAAACUUUAAUUGCCUUAGAAGGUUGGGUAAAGUACAAUUUAUUAUUCAAUAUGGCUUGAAGAGUACAUACCGCAUGAGAUCGCAUUUUGUAAUCGAUAUUGACACCCAUCUUGUACUGGCUCGUUUUGUUAUUUCUUACAUAAAUGUAAUGCAUCCGUGUACAUGCAACUAUAAUAGUUUUAAACAACAUGGUUCGAUAAUGAACAAUUGCGUAAUUAAACACGGAAUUCCAAAUGUGACUCUUCUUUACGUUUUCGAACUUCUCGAACAACAAAUCAUUCAAAGGUUCCACUGGAUCGUUAUAUUUUGUAAUGACCUCUUUUUGAGCAUGUCUACAUAGAAGUAACAUCGCAUUUUUGGGACUUUCGUCCCAUUCGUCACACUCGUGUGUUACAUGGAGAUAUAGGUGGUCACCAUUGAUUCGAAUUACAGGUUGGGUAUUAACUCCACGUUUUGAAAACACAUCGCUGGAUGGUGUGUACAAAUAGUGCAAUAAAUCGUCGGCAAGUGUGGUAAAAACGCGUUUAGCUAUUUUGAGAGAAAUGGGUCCCUUCGGGUUAUUCAUCAUUUUCCCCUCUACAUCCGAAUUCAAGUAAGCGAUUGCCUUCUUCGAUGUUCGCAAUUCCCUACCGUUCGUAACAUGCGAAGGUUCAGUAACGAAAGAAUUUAUUUUUGUAGCAAAUGGGUAAAUGCGUGGAUAAAGUACCGUUUUCUCUACGUCGUUAAAAACAAAUAUUUCGUUCUCUUCGUCGCUCGGCCCAGAUGGUAGUUUGUAGUCUUCUAUUUUUUGCAUCACUUCGUUAUAUACAGAAGGAGUGAAGUAAAGACACAUUGCGUUUUGAAUGAUAUCGUUAUUUAAUUGUCGGCGAGUUAUGCACCAUAAGGUGUAAUGAGCAUUAAUUGAAGUAUUUUCCGACCCAAAUAAUUUAAAAUAUUCAUUUUCACAAUUACAGCGACCGGCACCGUCAAGUAGAUCGAAGGCUUCGUCAAUCACAUACGCCAAGGCGACUCCAAAAUCAUAUGCAUAAUUGCAAGAUAGAUUUCGGGAUUUGGUGAUUAGAUAUACAAGCAAAGCCGACAGAAAAGAACAUUUAUUCCAAUUCUGAAAACGGAAACAUCAACCGACUACACGGCCUACCCAACUCUCAAGCCAAGCGAUGUCUACCAUUUCUUCGUUGCCAAACGAAAUACUCGUUACGAUAUUUCAUUUCCUUACACAAGAGGAAAAAGCUGUUGUGGCAACGGUGUGUAAAAAAUGGUAUUGUGUCGUCGACUUACCUGUGCUCUGGCAAAGGAACAGUGUCGCAUACAUUGGAGACUACAAUGCAACAUGCUUCGAGACCAUCGUUCGAAGAAAAGUAUCCAAAGUCCACCUGUGCAAUGGAUUCGACUACCGGAUGAUUCCAUUCAACAUCGUUGACAUCGACUGUGGAAGACGCUACUCUACUGUCGUGACAUUGUUACAGUGUAAGAAGAAUGUACUACGAACUCUGAAGUGUUUAAACGUGUCUGGUUGUUUUGAUUUAACCGACAUGGAUUUGGAAAAAAUUGUUCUCAUCGCCCCAAACAUUACUAAUUUGAAUGUGGAACAGUGUGUACGUUUAUCGGAUGCAGCUAUGCGCAGAAUUGCGUAUUACUUGACUGUGACAUCUUUGAAUGUUAAUCAAUGUGUGAACAUUACUAUGGACGGCAUGCAAUUUUUCUUAAACAAUGGAAAGUCGCAUCUCAUUUCCAAAUUAUGCAUGAGUCAAAUGUGGAAUGUUGAUUUUCACCAGCUUGUAUUGUUAAUUCACAAGUGCAAAUUCUUAAAAGAGAUUGAAAUGUCAUUUUGUUACAAAUGGAAUUGUCAGUUGUUUCAGCAAAUAGUAGACGCUCUUUGCUAUUUAGAAAGUUUUGUAAUUAAUAUCAAUCUCAUAUUUGAAGAGAAUGUAUUGAUUGCAUAUAUUCAGGAUUAUAGAAAAUAUCUUUGUAAGAAAGGUAGAGGACAGAGUCGCACAUUAGUUUUCCGUAUUAUGUACUAUUCAAAUAAUGGAAAAACACUCGCACUUUGAUCACAAAAAUAAAAAAAUUCGCUUGACCAACUGACCACGCCUCCAUUUAUGUUAAACACAUUCACCCUCACCCCAUCUCUUUCCUUCAUUGGAAUAAUGUACUAUUGCACUUUGAUCAAGAAAAAAUAUAAAAAAAUUCGCUUGACCAACUGACCACGCCUCCAUUUAUGUUAAACAUUCACACCCUCCCCCACAACACCACCCACAUCCCUCUCUCACUCCUUCAUUAGGACGCAGGCGCUAUUUUUUC